UACGGAAGGCAGCAGUGGGGAAUAUUGCACAAUGGGCGAAAGCCUGAUGCAGCUAUGCCGCGUGUAUGAAGAAGGCCUUAGGGUUGUAAAGUACUUUCAUCGGGGAGGAAAAAACAAAACUAAUAAUUUUAUUUCUUGACGUUACCCGAAAAAGAAGCACCGGCUAACUCCGUGCCAGCAGCCGCGGUAAUACGGAGGGUGCUAGCGUUAAUCAGAAUUACUGGGCGUAAAGAGCACGUAGGUGGUUUUUUUAAAGUCAGAUGUGAAAUCCCUGGGCUUAACCUGGAACUGCAUUUUGAAACUGAAAUACUAGAGUAUCGUAGAGGGAGGUAGAAUUCUAGGUGUAGCGGUGAAAUGCGUAGAUAUCUGGAGGAAUACCUGUGGCGAAAGCGGCCUCCUAAACGAAUACUGACACUGAGGUGCGAAAGCGUGGGGAGCAAACAGGAUUAGAUACC
rnacentral:rRNA from 1 species